rnacentral:rRNA from 1 species
GACGAACGCUGGCGGCGUGCUUAACACAUGCAAGUCGAACGGAAAGGCCCUGCUUUUGUGGGGUGCUCGAGUGGCGAACGGGUGAGUAACACGUGAGUAACCUGCCCUUGACUUUGGGAUAACUUCAGGAAACUGGGGCUAAUACCGGAUAGGAGCUCCUGCUGCAUGGUGGGGGUUGGAAAGUUUCGGCGGUUGGGGAUGGACUCGCGGCUUAUCAGCUUGUUGGUGGGGUAGUGGCUUACCAAGGCUUUGACGGGUAGCCGGCCUGAGAGGGUGACCGGCCACAUUGGGCCUGAGAUCCGGCCCAGACUCCUACGGGAGGCAGCAGUGGGGAAUAUUGCACAAUGGGCGGAAGCCUGAUGCAGCAACGCCGCGUGCGGGAUGACGGCCUUCGGGUUGUAAACCGCUUUCGCCUGUGACGAAGCGUGAGUGACGGUAAUGGGUAAAGAAGCACCGGCUAACUACGUG